CGCUGGUAGAGGCAUAAUCAGAGAUCAACUCAAGAAAAGGAAAGAAGGAAGAAAGAGGAAGUUUCAGCCGUCGACUAAUACAGGUUGCAAUGGAGUUUUUGGAAUGAAUUGGAAUUGGUAUUUCAAAUAAAUGCUGAAGUUAUGUGAAAUCACUUAUGGGAAAAACUUCAAACUCUACUUCGUGGUAGUGGCUGAAUAGUAUAAAUAGGGUGAGACAAAGGGAGCGAAGGGUCUCUGGACUACAAAUGAUCAAGCAUUGAUGGUCUUUCAAAAUCUGUAAUUAAAUUGUUAGUGCUGACCGGAAAACCUCUUUCAUUUGGAAUUUUGCAGCCAAAUUGUUUAGCAGGUAUUCUAUUAACUGCUCUCAUGUACUACACUAUCUCUUAUUGUGUUUUUUAAAUUCUCCACUUUCCCCUCAAUUAUCCCAAAAGUGUAUCCAAUCACUAAUUCAGGCUAAGAUAGAUAUAUAUCCCCUGUGUCUAUUGGUUUUGACUUGGUGAUAUCUAUAAUUUACCGAGUUCAUUCUAUCUAUAGUUGUAGCCCUGGACUAUAAAUUAGAUUGUUAGAACUAGGAAAAAAAAAAAGUAGUGGCUGAUCUCAGGAUCUAAACAUGGUAACAUCUGUAGUUGACAGAAGUUUG